AGGAUGACUUCAGAUGUGCAACCGCUGAGGAAAUAGCGUACAGCAAGAUACUACAAGUUAAGAUACAGUCGGUGAAGCCAAUCAGACAUGGGUGGAAAAUCUGCAGCAGGUCUGCCAUAAUUCUGAAGUCUCUUAAUGAACUCAAAGCCCUGGUGCCAUGGCUAGGAGCAGUGCCAAGGCUUCCACAGGAAGCGUUCAAGUGCAUAAGGGCAAUUAGGAUUCUGCAGGAUCAAGCUGGAGGACGAAAGGGGACCCCGAAACCCGAGACUGGGCAGCUCCCAGGUCGAGAGCCCUUUGAAACGGCC